rnacentral:rRNA from 1 species
UACGUAGGGGGCAAGCGUUGUCCGGAAUUACUGGGCGUAAAGGGUACGUAGGCGGCUAUAUAAGUCAGGUGUGAAAUACCAGUGCUUAACACUGGAAUUGCAUUUGAAACUGUGUAGCUUGAGUGCAGGAGAGGAAAGUGGAAUUCCCAGUGUAGCGGUGAAAUGCGUAGAGAUUGGGAGGAACACCAGUGGCGAAGGCGACUUACUGGGCCACAACUGACGCUGAGGCACGAAAGCGUGGGGAGCAAACAGGAUUAGAUACCCUGGUAGUCCACGCUGUAAACGAUGAUUACUAGGUGUAGGGGGUAACACCCCCCCUGUGCCGCAGCUAACGCAGUAAGUAAUCCGCCUGGGGAGUACGGUCGCAAGAUUGAA